AUGUUUAUGACGUCAUAUGUAUCAUAACGUCAUUUAACGCUUAACGCACAUGAAUAAUAUUUAGCCGAGGAAGAACACGUUGUAGUUGUAAAAAGGAAUUCUUCAAUAAACUUUAGAUAUUCAAAUAUUUUACAGGUGAUAUACACAGCGGGCGGACAUACCACUUUUUCUCUGAACGUACCUGAACGUGGAAAAGGUUGUGGGAGGAACAUGUGUUUUAAAGUCAACUGUGAAAAUUGUAACAAGCCAACAUGGAAAGGUUGUGGCGCGCAUAUCGAGCAGGUUUUGAAAGAUGUACCAGAGGCGGACAGAUGCAAAUGUCCCCGGAGCUAGGCUCGUCCUGUUGUAGUCAGGUCCAGUAUUGGCGGACAUUCUAAAGAGAGCGGAUCAUUUUCGAUUCGGACAAUGUUGUAAAUAGUGUUGUUCUUUCAUUUCUUGCUCAAAUGUGUUUUUUUUUUCUAUUUAUUCAUAUGAUGUUUGAACUGAUUUUCGAGCAAUAUUUAUUUUCUCAAUGAUUAUCAUUAUCAAAAUAAAAGUGUGUGUAUAAACA